UUCUCCCAUCUCAGCCUCCUGAGUAGCUGGGACUACAGGGACACAUCACCAAGCCCAGCUAAUUUUUUUAUUUCUUGGUAGAGACGGCGUUUCAUCAUGUUGGCCAGACUGGUCUUCAACUCCUGACCUCAAGUGAUCCGCCCACCUUGGCCUCCCAAGACUGAUGUCUCUUGAGCAUCUCUGUGGUUCCAAGGUCUCCUUUAGUGAUGGGA
rnacentral:lncRNA from 1 species